GAUGAACGCUGGCGGUAUGCCUAACACAUGCAAGUCGUACGAGAGUUUUUAACUCUAGUGGCGGACGGGUGAGUAACACGUGAGAAUUUGCCUUUAGGAGGGGGAUAACAAUUGGAAACGAAUGCUAAUACCCCAUAUGCUUUUGAGUGAAACGGAUUUAUCCGCCUAGAGAGAAGCUCGCGGCUGAUUAGCUUGUUGGUAAGGUAAGAGCUUACCAAGGCGACGAUCAGUAUCUGGUUUGAGAGGACGAUCAGACACACUGGAACUGAGACACGGUCCAGACUCCUACGGGAGGCAGCAGUGGGGAAUUUUCCGCAAUGGGCGAAAGCCUGACGGAGCAAUACCGCGUGAGGGAAGACUGCCUAUGGGUUGUAAACCUCUUUUUUCAGGGAGGAAUAAAAUGACGUGUACCUGAAGAAUAAGCAUCGGCUAAACUCCGUG
rnacentral:rRNA from 1 species